GCGCCAGUGGUGUAUGGCAUAGCAUCGCUGCCCGGAGAGCAAACGGUGCGGGUUCGACUCCCGCCUGGUGCA
rnacentral:tRNA from 1 species